CGGAGCUUUCGAGGCUUUUUCCGGCGAAUCCACGGCGAGUUAGGGGUCAAGGCAGAAAUUCCGGCAAAACACCCACCUCCGGCGAAACCAGUCCGGCGACGCGAGGAAGAAGACGCGCGCGUGGGCAGCGCGUAGAUUGGGCGAGUGAGGGCGCGUGGGACCUCCAAAUUGAGUUCUGAAAAUUGUCACGCGUUCGUGACGUCGUGUAGAUCACCGUGGUGAAAAUUAUACAGAAGAAGAAUGUAACCAAUCUAGGGGAGGCUCAGGGACCCACGAGACGUCGAUGUGAUCAGUUUAAGAUAUUAGAGCUUGGUGGCUACGAGGAAUCCAACGGUGUUCUGACAGAAUGGACAAAAAUUAGGACUCACUUUUGGGUGUUUCAUCUUAGAAAUUGUAUCUUUAAAGCUUCCGUACUGUGUAAAUGGUUACGUCACUCUCACGUGACGGCCAGCAUGCCCUCCUUCGGGACGGGGUGUGUCAGUACUACUAUCUGUUCAAAUAUAUAUAUGUGCAGCACUAACAUACAUGUUAAAAAAUUAUUAUUAUGUAAUCAAUUUACCCUUAAGUAAA